rnacentral:rRNA from 1 species
GACGAACGCUGGCGGCGUGCUUAACACAUGCAAGUCGAACGGUGAAGCCCUUCGGGGUGGAUCAGUGGCGAACGGGUGAGUAACACGUGAGCAACCUGCCCCUGGCUCUGGGACAACCACUGGAAACGGUGGCUAAUACCGGAUACGACCCGCCUCGGCAUUGAGUGUGGGUGGAAAGUUUUUCGGCUGGGGAUGGGCUCGCGGCCUAUCAGCUUGUUGGUGAGGUGAAGGCUCACCAAGGCGACGACGGGUAGCCGGCCUGAGAGGGCGACCGGCCACACUGGGACUGAGACACGGCCCAGACUCCUACGGGAGGCAGCAGUGGGGAAUAUUGCACAAUGGGCGAAAGCCUGAUGCAGCGACGCCGCGUGAGGGAUGACGGCCUUCGGGUUGUAAACCUCUUUCAGCUCCGAAGAAGCGAAAGUGACGGUAGGAGCAGAAGAAGCACCGGCUAACUACGUG